rnacentral:lncRNA from 1 species
GUCAGUUGUUACGAGAAUAAAGCCUAAGAGCUCUCAUUACAACAAAAAUGUUUUUCCUAUUUCUUUAAUUUCGUACCUAUAUGAGAUAAAGAAUGUUCAUUAAACUUCUUGUGAUAAUCACUUCAUGAUAUAUAUAAAUAAAAUCCUUAUGCUAUAACCUUAAACUUAUACAGGGCUAUAUGUCAAUUAUAUCUCAAUAAAACUGGGAGAAAAAAAAGUAUGUCAGAGACUAAAAAGAGUUGGGAAAGGAACUCUAAAUAAGAUUGCUUACAGUCACAGUUCUGGAACAAACGAUGUGUAACAGGGGUUAAGUGAAUGGAAUUUUGGAAUCAGAUCAUCUGGAUUCAAGUCCUAACUUAACCACAUGCUAGAUGCAUGACCUUGGACUCCAAGUUCAGUUCUCUGGGCCUCAGGUUCUUAAUCUGUGAUAAAGAGAUAAAAGUCUCUAUCUCAUAGGAUUGCUAUUGAGAGGAUGAAAUCAGAUAAUACUAUGAAAUAUCUUAUAAGUCUUAUAAGGAACAUAUAAGUCUCAGUAAGAGUAGUUAUUAAUUCUUAUAUGUUUGCCUAUAUUCUUCUUAUUAUAUUCAACAUAGUUCAGCUGCACAAAGAACUAAAGCCUAUGACGGAAGAAGUGGCAAUAACGAAGAUUAGUAUAAUGAUGCUCCAUUGCUGCCCUGGCUGCUCACUAGAAUCAUCAUCUGGUACACUUGCCACUUUUGCCGCUGCUCCACAUCUCCCAGACCACGAGAUGCCAUCCCAGGACUGGACUGUCUCCUCCCUGACGCUGGAUACUGCUGCUGCUCUCCCCAAGGCGUGUCUCCCCAACAUGGACAUAGGCUUCAUCCUUCCCUCCCCAAAGCACAGAGAAGACCAGCAUGUGAGGUAA